GUAUUCAAUUUAUUUUUGUUUUCCAAAAAAAAUUUAAUGUUUUCAGGCUUGCUUUGAGAACAAAGCAAGAAAGGUUUGUCAACGUGAAACAAGAGAAAAAACUCUGGCAGCGCCGGAGGGAAGGGAAAGCGAGAGAAAAAGCAAGCUUGACCUCUCGGUUCCCUCCUCUCCACGGAGAAACAAUGAAGGAUCCUCCCGCAAACUGCCAAAGCAAACAUGUCAAUGAGGUGCACACGAAGGUGGAUAUGGAUUUGAACCAUCCAUAUGAAAAGGAAAAUGGACAAUUGUUAAUGAUCCUUCCGCAGGUUCACCUACGGAAA
rnacentral:misc_RNA from 1 species